rnacentral:rRNA from 1 species
AUUGAACGCUGGCGGCAGGCCUAACACAUGCAAGUCGAACGAGUGGCGGACGGGUGAGUAAUGUCUGGGAAACUGCCCGAUGGAGGGGGAUAACUACUGGAAACGGUAGCUAAUACCGCAUACCAUCGGAUGUGCCCAGAUGGGAUUAGCUAGUAGGUGGGGUAAAGGCUCACCAAGGCGACGAUCCCUAGCUGGUCUGAGAGGAUGACCAGCCACACUGGAACUGAGACACGGUCCAGACUCCUACGGGAGGCAGCAGUGGGGAAUAUUGGACAAUGGGCGAAAGCCUGAUGCAGCCAUGCCGCGUGUAUGAUGAAGGCCUUCGGGUUGUAAAGUACUUUUAGCGAGGAAGCGUUACUCGCAGAAUAAGCACCGGCUAACUCCGUGCCAGCAGCCGCGGUAAUAC